rnacentral:rRNA from 1 species
AGUGAACGCUGGCGGCGUGCUUAACACAUGCAAGUCGAACGAGAACGGAUUAUAGCUUGCUAUAAUUGUCAGCUAAGUGGCGCACGGGUGAGUAAUAUAUAGGUAACGUGCCCCAAAGAAGAGGAUAACAGAUGGAAACGCCUGCUAAGACUCUAUAUGCCUUUAUCCCAUAAGGGAGCAAGGGAAAUAUUUAUAGCUUUGGGAUCGGCCUGUACAGUAUCAGUUAGUUGGUGAGGUAAUGGCUCACCAAGACAAUGACGCUUAACUGGUUUGAGAGGAUGAUCAGUCACACUGGAACUGAGACACGGUCCAGACUCCUACGGGAGGCAGCAGUGGGGAAUAUUGCACAAUGGACGAAAGUCUGAUGCAGCAACGCCGCGUGGAGGAUGACACAUUUCGGUGCGGUAAACNCCUUUUAUAUGGGAAGGUAAUGACGGUACCAUAUGAAUAAGCACCGGCUAACUCCGUGCCAGCAGCCG